rnacentral:rRNA from 1 species
GAUGAACGCUGGCGGCGUGCUUAACACAUGCAAGUCGAACGGAAAGGCCUCAGCUUGCUGGGGUACUCGAGUGGCGAACGGGUGAGUAACACGUGGGUGAUCUGCCCUGCACUUUGGGAUAAGCUUGGGAAACUGGGUCUAAUACCGAAUAUGACCACUUCUUGGAUGUUGCGGGGGAAAGCUCUUGCGGUGUGGGAUUAGCCUGCGGCCUAGCAGCUUGUUGGUGGGGUAAUGGCCUACCAAGGCGGCGACGGGUAUCCGGCCUGAGAGGGUGUACAGGCACAUUGGGACUGAGAUACGGCCCAGACUCCUACGGGAGGCAGCAGUGGGGAAUAUUGAACAAUGGGCGCAAGCCUGAUGCAGCGACGCCGCGUGGGGGAUGAAGGCCUUCGGGUUGUAAACUCCUUUCGCUAUCGACGAAGCCAUUUGUGGUGACGGUAGGUAGAUAAGAAGCACCGGCUAACUACGUGCCAGCAGCCGCAGUAA